rnacentral:rRNA from 1 species
AUUGAACGCUGGCGGCAGGCCUAACACAUGCAAGUCGAACGAGUGGCGGACGGGUGAGUAAUGUCUGGGAAACUGCGCGAUGGAGGGGGAUAACUACUGGAAACGGUAGCUAAAACCGUAUCCUAUGGGGUGGGCCCAGAGGGGAUUAGCUAGUCGGUGGGGUAACGGCUCACCUAGGCGACUAUCCCUAGCGGGUCUGAGAGGAUGACCAUCCACACUGGAACUGAUACACGGUCCAGCCCCCGACGGGAGGCAGCAGUGGGGAAUAUUGCACAAUGGGCGCAAGCCUGAUGCAGCCAUGCCGCGUGUAUGAAGAAGGCCUUCGUGUUGUAAAGUACUGUCAGCGAGGAGGCGUUACUCGCAGAAGAAGCACCGGCUAACUCCGGGCCAGCAGCCGCGGUAAUAC